rnacentral:rRNA from 1 species
GACGAACGCUGGCGGCGUGCUUAACACAUGCAAGUCGAACGGAAAGGCUCCAGCUUGCUGGAGUACUCGAGUGGCGAACGGGUGAGUAACACGUGGGUAAUCUGCCCUGCACUCUGGGAUAAGCCUGGGAAACUGGGUCUAAUACUGGAUAUGACCUUUCUCCUUAUGGGGUUUGGUGGAAAGUUUUUCGGUGUAGGAUGAGCCCGCGGCCUAUCAGCUUGUUGGUGGGGUGAUGGCCUACCAAGGCGACGACGGGUAGCCGGCCUGAGAGGGUGAGCGGCCACAGUGGGACAGAGAUGCGGCAGAGACUAAUAGGGGAGGCAGGAGGGGAGAAUAUUGCACAAUGGGCGGGAGUGUGACGCCGACGCCGCGUGAGGGAUGACGGCCUUCGGGUUGUAAACCUCUUUCAGCAGGGACGAAGCGUAAGUGACGGUACCUGCAGAAGAAGCACCGGCUAACUACGUG